GCGCGUGUGGCGGAAUUGGUAGACGCACCAGGUUUAGGUCCUGAUGCCCGCAAGGGCGUGGGGGUUCGAUUCCCUUCACGCGCA
rnacentral:tRNA from 1 species